rnacentral:sRNA from 1 species
GCAGGGCAUGGUGGCACAUGUCUGUAAUCUCAGCUACUCAGGAUACUGAGGCAGGGGGAUUGAGAGUUCAGGACCAGUCUGAGCAAUUUAGUGAGACUCUGUCUCAA